rnacentral:rRNA from 1 species
CCUACGGGAGGCAGCAGUGAGGAAUAUUGGUCAAUGGGCGCUAGCCUGAACCAGCCAAGUAGCGUGAAGGAUGACUGCCCUACGGGUUGUAAACUUCUUUUAUAAGGGAAUAAAGUGCAGUACGUAUACUUUUUUGCAUGUACCUUAUGAAUAAGGAUCGGCUAACUCCGUGCCAGCAGCCGCGGUAAUACGGAGGAUCCGAGCGUUAUCCGGAUUUAUUGGGUUUAAAGGGAGCGUAGGCGGGUUGUGAAGUCAGUUGUGAAAGUUUGCGGCUCAACCGUAAAAUUGCAGUUGAUACUGGCAGUCUUGAGUACAGUAGAGGUAGGCGGAAUGCGUGGUGUAGCGGUGAAAUGCGU